rnacentral:rRNA from 1 species
AGAGUUUGAUCAUGGCUCAGGAUGAACGUUGGCGGCGUGCCUAAUACAUGCAAGUCGAACGGUAGUUGUCUUUCGAGGCAAUGAGAGUGGCGCACGGGUGAGUAACACGUAACUGAUCUGCCCUUUAGACUGGGAUAACCUUUGGAAACAGGGGCUAAUACUGGAUGAGGUCAUGGUAGUUAGAGAGCCGUGAUUAAAGGCGCUAGAGCGCUAUGGGAUGAGGUUGCGCGCCAUCAGCUAGUUGGUGAGGUAAAGGCUUACCAAGGCGAUGACGGCUAGGGGGCCUGAGAGGGUGGUCCCCCACACUGGGACUGAGACACGGCCCAGACUCCUACGGGAGGCAGCAGUAAGGGAUAUUGCACAAUGGACGGAAGUCUGAUGCAGCGACGCCGCGUGGGCGAAGAAGGUUUUCGGAUCGUAAAGUUCUUUUCUAUGUGACGAGAGAGGACGGUAGCAUAGGAAUAAGUGCCGGCUAACUACGUGCCAGCAGCCGCGGUAAAACGUAUGACGCGAACGUCAUCCGGAUUUACUGGGCGUAAAGCGCGCGCAUGCGGU